rnacentral:rRNA from 1 species
UAAGCGACUAAGCGUACACGGUGGAUGCCCUGGCAGUCAGAGGCGAUGAAGGACGUGCUAAUCUGCGAAAAGCGUCGGUAAGGUGAUAUGAACCGUUAUAACCGGCGAUGUCCGAAUGGGGAAACCCAGUGCAAUUCGUUGCACUAUCGUUAACUGAAUACAUAGGUUAACGAGGCGAACCGGGGGAACUGAAACAUCUAAGUACCCCGAGGAAAAGAAAUCAACCGAGAUUCCCCCAGUAGCGGCGAGCGAACGGGGAGCAGCCCAGAGUCUGAAUCAGCUUGUGUGUUAGUGGAACGGUCUGGAAAGUCCGACGGUACAGGGUGAUAGUCCCGUACACCAAAAUGCACAGGUUGUGAACUCGAAGAGUAGGGCGGGACACGUGGUAUCCUGUCUGAAUAUGGGGGGACCAUCCUCCAAGGCUAAAUACUCCUGACUGACCGAUAGUGAACCAGUACCGUGAGGGAAAGGCGAAAAGAACCCCGGCGAGGGGAGUGAAAAAGAACCUGAAACCGUGUACGUACAAGCAGUGGGAGCACCUUCGGGUGUGACUGCGUACCUUUUGUAUAAUGGGUCAGCGACUUAUAUUCUGUAGCAAGGUUAACCGUAUAGGGGAGCCGCAGGGAAACCGAGUCUUAACUGGGCGUUAAGUUGCAGGGUAUAGACCCGAAACCCGGUGAUCUAGCCAUGGGCAGGUUGAAGGUUGGGUAACACUAACUGGAGGACCGAACCGACUAAUGUUGAAAAAUUAGCGGAUGACUUGUGGCUGGGGGUGAAAGGCCAAUCAAACCGGGAGAUAGCUGGUUCUCCCCGAAAGCUAUUUAGGUAGCGCCUCGUGAACUCAUCUUCGGGGGUAGAGCACUGUUUCGGCUAGGGGGUCAUCCCGACUUACCAACCCGAUGCAAACUACGAAUACCGAAGAAUGUUAUCACGGGAGACACACGGCGGGUGCUAACGUCCGUCGUGAAGAGGGAAACAACCCAGACCGCCAGCUAAGGUCCCAAAGUCACAGUUAAGUGGGAAACGAUGUGGGAAGGCACAGACAGCCAGGAUGUUGGCUUAGAAGCAGCCAUCAUUUAAAGAAAGCGUAAUAGCUCACUGGUCGAGUCGGCCUGCGCGGAAGAUGUAACGGGGCUAAACUGUGCACCGAAGCUGCGGCAGCGACACGAUGUGUUGUUGGGUAGGGGAGCGUUCUGUAAGCCUGCGAAGGUGGCCUGUGAGGGUUGCUGGAGGUAUCAGAAGUGCGAAUGCUGACAUAAGUAACGAUAAUGCGGGUGAAAAGCCCGCACGCCGGAAGACCAAGGGUUCCUGUCCAACGUUAAUCGGGGCAGGGUGAGUCGACCCCUAAGGCGAGGCCGAAAGGCGUAGUCGAUGGGAAACAGGUUAAUAUUCCUGUACUUGGUGUUACUGCGAAGGGGGGACGGAGAAGGCUAUGUUAGCCGGGCGACGGUUGUCCCGGUUUAAGCAUGUAGGCGGAGGUUCCAGGUAAAUCCGGUACCUUUUUAACGCUGAGGUGUGAUGACGAGGCACUACGGUGCUGAAGUAACAAAUGCCCUGCUUCCAGGAAAAGCCUCUAAGCAUCAGGUAACAUUGAAUCGUACCCCAAACCGACACAGGUGGUCAGGUAGAGAAUACCAAGGCGCUUGAGAGAACUCGGGUGAAGGAACUAGGCAAAAUGGUGCCGUAACUUCGGGAGAAGGCACGCUGAUAUGUAGGUGAAGCCCCUGCGGGUGGAGCUGAAAUCAGUCGAAGAUACCAGCUGGCUGCAACUGUUUAUUAAAAACACAGCACUGUGCAAACACGAAAGUGGACGUAUACGGUGUGACGCCUGCCCGGUGCCGGAAGGUUAAUUGAUGGGGUUAUCCGUAAGGAGAAGCUCUUGAUCGAAGCCCCGGUAAACGGCGGCCGUAACUAUAACGGUCCUAAGGUAGCGAAAUUCCUUGUCGGGUAAGUUCCGACCUGCACGAAUGGCGUAAUGAUGGCCAGGCUGUCUCCACCCGAGACUCAGUGAAAUUGAACUCGCUGUGAAGAUGCAGUGUACCCGCGGCAAGACGGAAAGACCCCGUGAACCUUUACUAUAGCUUGACACUGAACAUUGAGCCUUGAUGUGUAGGAUAGGUGGGAGGCUUUGAAGCGUGGACGCCAGUCUGCGUGGAGCCAACCUUGAAAUACCACCCUUUAAUGUUUGAUGUUCUAACGUUGGCCCCUUAUCGGGGUUGCGGACAGUGUCUGGUGGGUAGUUUGACUGGGGCGGUCUCCUCCCAAAGAGUAACGGAGGAGCACGAAGGUUAGCUAAUCCUGGUCGGACAUCAGGAGGUUAGUGCAAUGGCAUAAGCUAGCUUGACUGCGAGCGUGACGGCGCGAGCAGGUGCGAAAGCAGGUCAUAGUGAUCCGGUGGUUCUGAAUGGAAGGGCCAUCGCUCAACGGAUAAAAGGUACUCCGGGGAUAACAGGCUGAUACCGCCCAAGAGUUCAUAUCGACGGCGGUGUUUGGCACCUCGAUGUCGGCUCAUCACAUCCUGGGGCUGAAGUAGGUCCCAAGGGUAUGGCUGUUCGCCAUUUAAAGUGGUACGCGAGCUGGGUUUAGAACGUCGUGAGACAGUUCGGUCCCUAUCUGCCGUGGGCGCUGGAGAAUUGAGGGGGGCUGCUCCUAGUACGAGAGGACCGGAGUGGACGCAUCACUGGUGUUCGGGUUGUCAUGCCAAUGGCAUUGCCCGGUAGCUAAAUGCGGAAGAGAUAAGUGCUGAAAGCAUCUAAGCACGAAACUUGCCCCGAGAUGAGUUCUCCCUGAGACUUUAAGUCUCCUGAAGGAACGUUAAAGACGAUGACGUUGAUAGGUCGGGUGUGUAAGCGUAGCGAUACGUUGAGCUAACCGAUACUAAUGAACCGUGAGGCUUAACCU